rnacentral:rRNA from 1 species
UACGGGGGGAGCAAGCGUUGUUCGGAUUUACUGGGCGUAAAGGGCGCGUAGGCGGUAGCACAAGUCAGUUGUGAAAUCUCCGGGCUUAACUCGGAAAGGUCAACUGAUACUGUGCGACUAGAGUGCAGAAGGGGCAACUGGAAUUCUCGGUGUAGCGGUGAAAUGCGUAGAUAGCGAGAGGAACACCUGCGGCGAAGGCGGGUUGCUGGGCUGACACUGACGCUGAGGCGCGAAAACCAGGGGAGCGAACGGG